rnacentral:rRNA from 1 species
GACGAACUUUGGCGGCGUGCUUAACACAUGCAAGUCGAACGGAAAGGCCCUGCUUUUGUGGGGUGCUCGAGUGGCGAACGGGUGAGUAACACGUGAGUAACCUGCCCUUGACUUUGGGAUAACUUCAGGAAACUGGGGCUAAUACCGGAUAGGAGCUCCUGCUGCAUGGUGGGGGUUGGAAAGUUUCGGCGGUUGGGGAUGGACUCGCGGCUUAUCAGCUUGUUGGUGGGGUAGUGGCUUACCAAGGCUUUGACGGGUAGCCGGCCUGAGAGGGUGACCGGCCACAUUGGGACUGAGAUACGGCCCAGACUCCUACGGGAGGCAGCAGUGGGGAAUAUUGCACAAUGGGCGGAAGCCUGAUGCAGCAACGCCGCGUGCGGGAUGACGGCCUUCGGGUUGUAAACCGCUUUCGCCUGUGACGAAGCGUGAGUGACGGUAAUGGGUAAAGAAGCACCGGCUAACUACGUGCCAGCAGCCGCGGUGAUACGUAGGGUGCGAGCGUUGUCCGGAUUUAUUGGGCGUAAAGGGCUCGUAGGUGGUUGAUCGCGUCGGAAGUGUAAUCUUGGGGCUUAACCCUGAGCGUGCUUUCGAUACGGGUUGACUUGAGGAAGGUAGGGGAGAAUGGAAUUCCUGGUGGAGCGGUGGAAUGCGCAGAUAUCAGGAGGAACACCAGUGGCGAAGGCGGUUCUCUGGGCCUUUCCUGACGCUGAGGAGCGAAAGCGUGGGGAGCGAACAGGCUUAGAUACCCUGGUAGUCCACGCUGUAAACGGUGGGUACUAGGUGUGGGGUCCAUUCCACGGGUUCCGUGCCGUAGCUAACGCUUUAAGUACCCCGCCUGGGGAGUACGGCCGCAAGGCUAAAACUCAAAGGAAUUGACGGGGCCCCGCACGAGCGGCGGAGCAUGCGGAUUAAUUCGAUGCAACGCGUAGAACCUUACCUGGGUUUGACAUGGAUCGGGAGUGCUCAGAGAUGGGUGUGCCUCUUUUGGGGUCGGUUCACAGGUGGUGCAUGCCUGUCGUCAGCUCGUGUCGUGAGAUGUUGGGUUAAGUCCCGCAACGAGCGCAACCCUUGUUCACUGUUGCCAGCACGUUAUGGUGGGGACUCAGUGGAGACCGCCGGGGUCAACUCGGAGGAAGGUGGGGAUGACGUCAAGUCCUCAUGCCCCUCAUGUCCAGGGCUUCACGCAUGCUACAAUGGCUGGUACAGAGAGUGGCGAGCCUGUGAGGGUGAGCGAAUCUCGGAAAGCCGGUCUCAGUUCGGAUUGGGGUCUGCAACUCGACCUCAUGAAGUCGGAGUCGCUAGUAAUCGCAGAUCAGCAACGCUGCGGUGAAUACGUUCCCGGGGCU